rnacentral:lncRNA from 1 species
CGGGGAGGGUCAGACACGUUUUCUUCAGAAAAAAAAAAGAAAAGAAAAAAAAGAAUGGAAAAAUGGUUCCAAUCAGUUCUGUCUCAGUGCCAGAAGGAAUGAGACCCAUGCUGCUGCACAUCAGAGUUGUCGGGGAGACAAUCAUGGAAAGAUACCCAACAUGUGAUACUACUUUCAUCAAAUGCUUGUAAUUAGAAUAAAUGUAAAAACAAAGAAAUGAGAAACAGUAGGUAUCUCCAUAAAUGGGAAAAUAAGAAAUUAAGUAAGUUAGGAUGGACAGAAGUAAAGCACUCCAACGCUUUGGAAGUAAGUAUGAACACAAAGAUACCACAUACAAAAAAGGAUGCAAGAAUCUUCCACAGUACCCUUUGUGUAUAGUACUCUGCAUCCUAUGGUUGUUAUCCUGAUUGACAUGGUUGGUACCCUGCAUCUAAUGGAUACUAUCCAACAUCCCAUUGUUGGUACCCUGUAUUCUAUGGUUGGUUCCCUAAUUCCCAUGGAUGGUACUCUGCACCCCAUGGAUGAUAUCCUGCAUCCCACGGUUGAUAUCAGUGAACAGCGUGUGAGGCAGACAACCAAGUCAUCAGAAUCUAACAAGAUUCACAAGAUCCCACACUGCCCUGAAGCCAUCAUCUAACUUCUUGACUGCUUCCACUCGCAUGAGGUGAUUUUAAAAGCAAGCCUUCCUUCACUGUUUGCUGUAAGGACUCACCCGACCUGGUGGCUAAGUUUGACAGGCCCUGUACCGCACAGAAGCAGAUUGAGUCUACUGCUGCUGCUUCUGUUGAAAUGAAACUUUGGGUCUCACAGAUGUUCCAGUAGUCCAGAUUUUGUUGAUCACAUUUUCAAGGUGAUAGGACCACCAUGAUGCCUCCCAAGUGCCAGAGGCCACCUGCCAUCAACUCAGUGAGUUCUACAGGAUAAUGAAGAUGUCCCUCACACUCAGGAAGUGCUGAGAAGGCACCUGGAGUAGUCAGUACACACACACACAAUGACAUAAAGAUCAAGAUGUGUGUGUGUGUGUGUGUGUGUUCAUAAUACCACAUACCAUGUGGCUCACAUAAUCAAAGAAAAAUACCAGAAGGUUCUAUAUGCUUGAUUACAGAUUAGUUAUAAGCUGAGUUAUGGAGGAAGGACCCAGAUGCAAAUAUGUUAUCAAAAAAAGAUCUUUGAGAAAGAUGGUAGUAUGUCCUGUACCUUGAUGUACCUUACUCAGAGCUAUAGGGUAGGUGUUGACUGAAAGGAUGGACAUGUAGGUGGGUGAUAAAACCCCACAGUAAGUGCUUUAACAGAGUCACAGGAGACAUGCAUCAGUAUUUGAAACUUCAUAUGGAGUCAGAGUGCUUAUACUGAGACAGAUUCAUGGUUCCUGUCUUGGUGAUAGCACCAGACGAACCUUUUUCUACAACACACCAAGGAGCUCUUGGAGCUGGUCCAAGCCAAAAGUAAAAAGAAAAGAAAAUAGUAUUGAUUGGAUAGCUAGAACUUUUUUAGGCAUUUAUGUGAGGCAGACUCUUUGCCCUGUUGUACAAGAUAAAUGUAUAAAGAUUAAUACUCAGAAAAAUAACAGCCUUGGGCUGGAGAUACGGCUUGGAGAGUAGUUAAGAGCAUUUGCUGCUCUUAUAGAGGACCAGUGUUCAGAUCCUAAAAAACACACCCACCUGUGACAACAGUGGGGUACAGGGCUGGGUAAUGCCCAUUUCUGGCCUCUAUGGAUACUGAAUUCACAUGAAAAAAAAUCCAAAAAGAGACACAAAAUAUACUACUAAAAAUAAAAAUAGAGUCAGUAGUGGCACAUACUCAUCUCUGUGAGUUAGAGGCCACUCUCUACAGGAGGUUGGAGGUUUCUACACAGAGAAACCCUCUCUGGAAAAACAAAACUAAUAAAAUAAAAUAAAAUUUGAAAAACUAAACAAAUAUUAUAAAAAGGAAAGUAACAACCCAGAAAUGCACCAGUAUAUAUAAUAUAUCAAAUUACACAAUCCGUCUUGAGAGUUAGGUAUGCACAAAGCCCCUGCACUUGGAAAGUCAAGUUAGAAGAACCAGUUCAAGGCCAGUCUCUGUUUCAUAGUAAUUUUGAGGAUUGUGUAAGGACCUGUAUAAGAAAAC